rnacentral:rRNA from 1 species
CCUACGGGAGGCAGCAGUGGGGAAUAUUGCACAAUGGGCGGAAGCCUGAUGCAGCAACGCCGCGUGCGGGAUGACGGCCUUCGGGUUGUAAACCGCUUUCGCCUGUGACGAAGCGUGAGUGACGGUAAUGGGUAAAGAAGCACCGGCUAACUACGUGCCAGCAGCCGCGGUGAUACGUAGGGUGCGAGCGUUGUCCGGAUUUAUUGGGCGUAAAGGGCUCGUAGGUGGUUGAUCGCGUCGGAAGUGUAAUCUUGGGGCUUAACCCUGAGCGUGCUUUCGAUACGGGUUGACUUGAGGAAGGUAGGGGAGAAUGGAAUUCCUGGUGGAGCGGUGGAAUGCGCAGAUAUCAGGAGGAACACCAGUGGCGAAGGCGGUUCUCUGGGCCUUUCCUGACGCUGAGGAGCGAAAGCGUGGGGAGCGAACAGGCUUAGAUACCCUGGUAGUCCACGCUGUAAACGGUGGGUACUAGGUGUGGGGUCCAUUCCACGGGUUCCGUGCCGUAGCUAACGCUUUAAGUACCCCGCCUGGGGAGUACGGCCGCAAGGCUAAAACUCAAAGGAAUUGACGGGGCCCCGCACAAGCGGCGGAGCAUGCGGAUUAAUUCGAUGCAACGCGUAGAACCUUACCUGGGUUUGACAUGGAUCGGGAGUGCUCAGAGAUGGGUGUGCCUCUUUUGGGGUCGGUUCACAGGUGGUGCAUGGCUGUCGUCAGCUCGUGU